UGAGGAAUAUUGGUCAAUGGACGAAAGUCUGAACCAGCCAUGCCGCGUGGAGGAUGAAGGCCCUCUGGGUCGUAAACUUCUUUUAUCAGGGAAGAAAAGUACUAUUUCUAUGGUAUCCGACGGUACCUGAUGAAUAAGCACCGGCUAACUCCGUGCCAGCAGCCGCGGUAAUACGGAGGGUGCAAGCGUUAUCCGGAUUUACUGGUUUUAAAGGGUGUGUAGGCGGACUGGAAAGUCAGAGGUGAAAUCUCCGAGCUUAACUCGGAAACUGCCCCUGAUACUAUUAGUCUUGAAUAUCGUUGAGGUAGGCGGAAUACAACAUGUAGCGGUGAAAUGCUUAGAUAUGUUGUAGAACACCGAUUGCGAAGGCAGCUUACUAAACGAUGAUUGACGCUGAGGCACGAAAGCGUGGGGAUCAAACA
rnacentral:rRNA from 1 species